UUUCCAUUUCCACCUCGAGGUCGGCAAGGAGUUCACGGCUGCCCUUUCCUAAGACACUAACGGAUGCCCCAGUAUCUAGGAGUCCAGCAAUCCGAUGUCCUCUUAUCUGCACUUCGGCAAAUACUCUGGGAUCGCGUCCUGCUCCUCGUCUGACUGCCUCGGCCACCUCUUUGCGAGUCUGUCGCCUUUCCUUAAAUCUGGAACGGGCCUUUUGGAGUCUACGACUGACACCGCGCAUCCCCUCCAGCUGCCUGUCAUCAAAGAUCUGGUUUCGAAUUUUGGACCAUCGUUCAUUUCUUCGCGGGCUUCUGUCCCGAGCGCUGAUCUCCCGCUUUCAUCAUGCCCGAUCGUGCGUUUCCCGAGCAAUUUGGACACGUUGGAGUAAACAUUUCUGGCUUUCCGCAGCGGUAACAAAAUAUUUUGCGUUCCUUCGCCACGAAGUCUCGGAACCCGUGGUCGAACUGGCCGCAAUUCCAGCAACACAGCCUGGGUUUGUUCGCCAGGUGAGUUUCUUCUACUAUCCUUGCUUCGUCUUCAUCCAGA